GCCUGCAACUCUCGCGAGAGAAGCGAGAUUUAUUCCUACGUACCGGGCCGUGCUGCUUAUGGCGGCGCUGGAGAGGGGGCGCUGAGCUGUUGGGUAUGAAGUGUAACGGAACAGACUUUACCACCUGAAACUGCUGCUUCAAGUUCAGAUCAGGCAAGGAACAGACCCGCAACAACCAACAACACCAAAGAAGAGUACACAAGUUGAAGAAAGACACAACACUUGAUCUGAAACAAGAAGUUUGUGCCUACUCAACAGCUUUGAAAGAGCACUUCCCAACGCUGCUAGUAGUCUUUGCUUUCUUCAGUGCUGGACUGUGAGGUUGCCCGGUGCAGCAGCAGUUGUAUUCUUUAUUAGCUUGGUAGAUCAUUUCCUCUCGCUCUCCUUUUUUUUUUUUUUUUUUUUUUUUAAAA